ensembl:lncRNA
GCUGGUGCACGUACUUAAGACGCUGGUUUUGUUUAUUACAAUAUUUUCAAAACACAAAGGCUGAGUAAGGGAAAAGGGAAGUCUGAGAGAGAGAAAGGCAGUGCGUGUGAGACGAUUUAUGGCGUCUGAAAGAGGUUAGAGCAUUUAAAAGGUGUGUAUGGAAUAAAGGAGUGUGAAAUAUAUUUCUUCUGUGAUGAAAAGUAGGAUGUGCUAAAGUUUGAAAGUGUUUUUAAUUCAAGAAAACAAAAAAAAAGGAGUUAGAUUAGUUUGAGGAACAGGAAAUAUUGCUCUAUGUACCGGGGCUGCAGCGACAGGAAAUAGUGAACAGGAACUGUGCAUGCCCAUAUAUGGGAACUGAGUGUGUACAGAAAGAACACAGAGAGAUAGAUGAGUUAACUCUAGGCACAUGAAGCAAAUGAAGCCUUUAAGAAAAAUGCAUAUAUUACUAAUUAUAUGGUUUAGUGUGUCAAUACAGGUGGGCGUCUUUCAACUUUGCAACCUUGAGUUCAGCAGCAGAAAAGUAGAUUAAAAGAAUUGGGAGAAAAUAAGCCAGUCUUUGGCUCGAAAUUGUGCAGCUUGAGCUCUUACUUUGUCCUUCACCCGAGAAGACACGUAAAGGACAGUCAAUCGCCUGAUGAAGACCGAUAGAACAUCGUGGACUUGAAUACAGCAGGCAAACGACAGUGCCACUGAUCCAUUAACACUGAUGACGACUGACGACCAGCAGCAGCAUGUAAGAAUACUGCAACAUGUACUGUGAAAAUACAGGCUGGGCAGUUGAACAGUGGGAUAAAGAAUUGUGGAAGAGCACUGGACAUUGAGUGAUAUUUUGCCAUGCUGGGACUUAAUCUGAAAGAAAGACUGUAAAGAAACAGAGAAGAAGACAGCAGCUGAGUUGAGACUGUGUUUGCUGGAGCUUUGAAGCCCGAAUAGGACAUUGUGCAGAGAGGACCAGUGAGAGAUGAAGCUGGACGAGUUUGACUGCGAGAAUAUAGGAUAUAAUUGGAUUGAAAAUUGAAGCCUGAACUCAUGAAUUGUUUAGGGAUGUCCACUACAGCAUAACAAAGAGGUAAACAUUAGAAAAGCAGGCCUGGAAGAGAGUGAACUGACGGCGCGGACAAAUUACCAAGGCACUCCGAACCACUUGUCUGAACACGGAGGCCAGUCCAGCCCAGCACUUCCUGAGACUGUAGUUGCUAAAACAGGAUCGGUAAAAAAGACAAAAGCGCGAGGGGUCAGGUAAAGGUGAUGAGUGUCUCAGCAGGAAUAAGGGCAUAGGGUUGAAUUAUGGUAAAGGGUCUACCAGCUCAUUCACAUUUGAUUUGUGUGACGUCAUUAAGUGUACAGGAGCUAGUAGUAGCUGGAGAGCGUAUGAGGUACGGGUCUGCAAUCACCCCAUGAUAUGCUUAGGGUAAAUUUAGUUGAUGCAAAGUCUAAGCCGCUUGCAGAAAGCUUAAUCACCAUUCUGACUGAUCAGAUGGUAACUUCGGGAACAGUAGCUCAAAAGGAACAGGAACCAAAAGGGAGAGUACUUCUGACAACAGAUUACUUUAGACUGAAGCCUAAAGAGUUGAUAAAGCGCGCCACGGGUUUCAAGGACAGUAACCUCUGGCUUGAUUGGGUGGCUCAAGAUGCUAGAGAACAACAUGUAUCUGACUGUGUUGCCUGUGCUUCAGCUAGGUCACGGUUGUUUACAGAGCCUGCACCAUUGCAUUAGAGGAUGAGUGGGGCUAUGAUUGUAUGUUACAGUUAACUAGAAGUGAAGUGACUACUGGCAACUGUACUGUGUUGUCCAGACUUUUCCCUGCCAUUUCAAAGCAGACAGCAGUGGGACCAUUUAUGCUAAAAUUAGAUAAUUACAUGUUUCAAGUUUUCUACAGAUAAUGAAAAGUACAAGGUGGGAGAGAUCGACCCAACUAGGUGUGCUGUCACACUCACAGGACGAACCACCAACAAUGUAAGCGACCCUACCACGGUAAUUGGAACAUGGGCAAGAAGUGGGCUCUACUAAUACUGUGGG